rnacentral:lncRNA from 1 species
AGCUUUGUUUUCCCUUGGACCAACUUGGCUUGACUUCAGUAAGGACUGACUGCAAAAACUCACUGGAUAACAAGGCUCAUCCACUUCUUAUAUGUAGCAGGACAGCCACGGAGUAACCCACAAUUCGGGCUUCUCAGGCUACCCGCUGUUCCACAGGAGGAUUAAGGGAAUCCAGGCAGCCUCCGCUCUGCUCUGUUGGGCAGCACUGUCUCCCUUCCCACCCCCACCGGCUCAGUGCCGGGAAAGAGGCAACCUCAUCCUCCAUGGGAAGGAACAGCUCCGCCAGCCACUAAUCCUGGCAACGCCGCCCCCUCCAAGUGCCCCCUCCAAGUGCGUAUGUAUGGAAUGUCCACACUGCCGACUGAAUCGGGAUCCAUCAGGAUCCCCGUGUGCCUGCCGACCACCUCACAGCUCCUUUGCGUGCAUUAGGCCUGGCAGGCACCUAGCCUCUGCUGCUACUGGAGGCCAAGUGUUCUCCCUCCACAGAGGCUGCGUCCGGAUCAGUCCAUACUCGUUCGUGAUGCCUAGCACACGCCCCACACCGUGAGACACUGUAAGCCCCUGGAAGACAAGGUUCUUACGUCUUACCUAACGCAGUGACGGACAAACCUCAUUCCCCGGAUGUUACAUAUAUGCUGUGUGCUCACUGAGAUGAAGUGCAGACAGAUCCCAAUGUGCUUUCUACCUAGGAUUUCAUGGGGGGUUCUCACAUAUUC